rnacentral:lncRNA from 1 species
CAGAGUCAGGCUUGCGUGUGGGCCCCCAACCGCCUCUCCGCUUCUGCGCGCUCCUAGCUCGGGGAUGGUGGGGGACGAUCGGCUUCCACAGAAGGUUCCUAUAGUUUAUUAUCCCUCCCUCCAUCCAUCCAUUCAUCCUUCCUGUCCUUAUCCGGAACCCAGCACAUACCUGCCAUAGUGGUUGCUCAGUACCUAUUUGUGGAAUGAAUGGAAGUCAGACCACCAGAAGAAGUGCUUGAAAAUCAAGGCCAUUUUAAGACCUUAAUUGUUCCUAAGCCCUGAAAGUGGAUGAGGCUCCUCAUGUAUCCUAUAUGUAAUUCAAAAUUAAAAAUUAAUCCUAAACUGUAAAAUAAAUGUAAGCAGA